CUUGCUUUCUUUGCUGGCGACCGGCGCACGGGUGAGUAACACGUAUCCAACCUGCCCUUUACUCGGGGAUAACCUUUCGAAAGAAAGAUUAAUACCCGAUAGCAUAAUGAUUCCGCAUGGUUUCAUUAUUAAAGGAUUCCGGUAAAGGAUGGGGAUGCGUUCCAUUAGGUUGUUGGUGAGGUAACGGCCCACCAAGCCUUCGAUGGAUAGGGGUUCUGAGAGGAAGGUCCCCCACAUUGGAACUGAGACACGGUCCAA
rnacentral:rRNA from 1 species